UACGGGGGGAGCAAGCGUUGUUCGGAUUUACUGGGCGUAAAGGGCGCGUAGGCGGCCUCCGCAAGUCGACUGUGAAAUCUCCGGGCUUAACCCGGAACGGUCAGCCGAUACUGCGGGGCUAGAGUGCAGAAGGGGCAACUGGAAUUCUCGGUGUAGCGGUGAAAUGCGUAGAUAUCGAGAGGAACACCUGCGGCGAAGGCGGGUUGCUGGGCUGACACUGACGCUGAUGCGCGAAAGCUAGGGGGAGCGAACGGG
rnacentral:rRNA from 1 species